UUGUAGUUGAGUGGUAAGGACACCUGCCUCUCACCCUGGAGUCCCGGAUUCGAUCCCCGGUUGAGGAG